GACGAACGCUGGCGGCGCGCUUAACACAUGCAAGUCGAACGGAAAGGCCUGCUUUCCCUUGUGGAUUGCGGGUACUCGAGUGGCGAACGGGUGAGUAACACGUGAGUGAUCUGCCCCCAACUUGGGUAUAAGCCUGGGAAACUGGGUCUAAUUCCCGAUAGGACUGCAGGGUGGUGCCUGUGGUGGAAAACGAUUUUCUAGUGGUUGGGGAUGAGCUCGCGGCCUAUCAGCUUGUUGGUGGGGUAAUGGCCUACCAAGGCGGCGACGGGUAGCCGGCCUGAGAGGGUGGACGGCCACAUUGGGACUGGGAUACGGCCCAGACUCCUACGGGAGGCAGCAGUGGGGAAUAAUACACAAUGGGCGGAAGCCUGAUGCAGCGAGGCCGCGUGGGGGAUGACGGCCUUCGGGUUGUAAACUCCUUUCGACCGCGAGGAAGCCACCUGGUUGGAAGGGUGGUGACGGUAGUGGUAGAAGAAGCACCGGCUAACUACGUG
rnacentral:rRNA from 1 species